rnacentral:rRNA from 1 species
AUUGAACGCUGGCGGCAGGCCUAACACAUGCAAGUCGAGCGGAGCGGCGGAAGGGUGAGUAAUGCCUAGGAAUCUGCCCGGUAGUGGGGGAUCCCGUCCGGAAACGGGCGCUAAUACCGCAUACUAUCAGGUGAGCUUGGGUCGGAUUAGCUAGUUGGUGGGGUAAAGGCCUACCAAGGCGACGAUCCGUAAAUGGUCUGAUAGGAUGAUCGGUCACACUGGAACUGAGACACGGUCCAGACUCCUACGGGAGGCAGCAGUGGGGAAUAUUGGGCAAUGGGCGAAAUCCUGAUCCAGCCAUGCCGCGUGUGUGAAGAAGGUCUUCGGAUUGUAAAGCACUUUAAGUUGGGAGGCGUUACCAACAGAAUAAGCACCGGCUAACUUCGUGCCAGCAGCCGCGGUAAUUC